GACAGAGGUGGCGAGCGUUGUUCGGAAUUACUGGGCUUAAAGGGCGAGUAGGCGGUGGAGCAAGUCUGAGGUGGAAUCCUAUGGCUUAACCAUAGAACUGCCUUAGAAACUGCUUUACUUGAGUCAGUGAGGGGAGGGCGGAAUUCCUGGUGUAGCGGUGAAAUGCGUAGAUAUCAGGAGGAAGGCCUGUGGCGAAAGCGGCCCUCUGGCACUGUACUGACGCUGAGGCGCGAAAGCGUGGGUAGCAAACAGGAUUAGAUACCCUGGUAGUCCACGCCCUAAACGGUGGGCAUUAGGUGUAGGGCUCGUAAGGGUUCUGUGCCGAAGGGAAACCAUUAAAUGCCCCGCCUGGGGAGUACGGCCGCAAGGUUGAAACUCAAAUGAAUUGACGG
rnacentral:rRNA from 1 species